UAGAUUUACAACAGAAUUCUCUUCUGCACGUGGCAGCCGCUGCACAGAGUGGCAGCUGAGAUCCCUGGCAGCUCAGCACAGCAUGAGGCAGCGGAUGGCCCCUGCUGAUGACAGACUCUCAGGUGAACCCAGGAGCUAAAAGUGUUGCUGAUCGGGAAUCACGAUGCUGAUUGUGAACUUGACUGGAUCUGGAGUCAACUAAGACGCAUGCCUCUGUGCAGGUCUAUGAGGACAUUUCCCGGAAGUAUUAACUGAAGUACCCAGCAGAGUCCCAUCAUACUCCUCUCGCUGGUCCAGGACAAAGAUUAUCCACGUGUUUUAAAGACUCUCGCCUGCAUCUUCAAAAUCUUCAAAUGGGGCAGGAAACAGCUACCAACAAUUACUAAGAGUGGGCCUGGAAGAUGAGAUUUGUGGACAGUCUCUGGGGAGUUUGAUGUUCUGAGGAGUUUGAUGCUCCUGGCUCCUGGGAAGAAUUACUUAAGUAUGCUAAUAAACUGAAGAAGACGAAAAAGGUUUCUUUUUUCCUUCCUGGCUCCCCCAUUCUGAAUGACGGUAUGAGCAUUCUCAGG